AGCAGCCGCGGUAAUUCCAGCUCCAAUAGCGUAUAUUAAAGUUGUUGCAGUUAAAAAGCUCGUAGUUGAAUUUCGGGAUCAGUAUGUUGGUCGUGCUUCGGUACGUACUGUCAUUACUGGUUUCUACCUUCUGAAGAACCUUGAUGUCAUUAAUUUGGUGUCUUGGGGAAUCAGGACUGUUACUUUGAAAAAAUUAGAGUGUUUAAAGCAAGCAUACGCUUGAAUACAUUAGCAUGGAAUAAUGAAAUAGGACGUUUGAUUCUAUUUUGUUGGUUUCUAGGAUCGACGUAAUGAUUAAUAGGGAUAGUUGGGGGCAUUAGUAUUCAAUUGUCAGAGGUGAAAUUCUUGGAUUUAUUGAAGACUAACUACUGCGAAAGCAUUUGCCAAGGAUGUUUUCAUUAAUCAAGAACGAAAGUUAGGGGAUCGAAGACGAUCAGAUACCGUCGUAGUCUUAACCAUAAACUAUGCCGACUAGGGAUCGGAUGAUGUUAUUUUUAAUGACUCAUUCGGCGCCUUACGG
rnacentral:sRNA from 1 species